rnacentral:rRNA from 1 species
GAUGAACGCUGGCGGCGUGCCUAAUACAUGCAAGUCGAGCGAACGGACGAGAAGCUUGCCUCUCUGAUGUUAGCGGCGGACGGGUGAGUAACACGUGGAUAACCUACCUAUAAGACUGGGAUAACUUCGGGAAACCGGAGCUAAUACCGGAUAAUAUUUUGAACCGCAUGGUUCAAAAGUGAAAGACGGUCCUGCUGUCACUUAUAGAUGGAUCCGCGCUGCAUUAGCUAGUUGGUAAGGUAACGGCUUACCAAGGCAACGAUGCAUAGCCGACCUGAGAGGGUGAUCGGCCACACUGGAACUGAGACACGGUCCAGACUCCUACGGGAGGCAGCAGUAGGGAAUCUUCCGCAAUGGGCGAAAGCCUGACGGAGCAACGCCGCGUGAGUGAUGAAGGUCUUCGGAUCGUAAAACUCUGUUAUUAGGGAAGAACAUAUGUGUAAGUAACUGUGCACAUCUUGACGGUACCUAAUCAGAAAGCCACGGCUAACUACGUG